GAUGAACGCUGGCGGCGUGCCUAAUACAUGCCAGUCGAGCGAACAGACGAGGAGCUUGCUCCUCUGACGUUAGCGGCGGACGGGUGAGUAACACGUGGAUAACCUACCUAUAAGACUGGGAUAACUUCGGGAAACCGGAGCUAAUACCGGAUAAUAUAUUGAACCGCAUGGUUCAAUAGUGAAAGACGGUUUUGCUGUCACUUAUAGAUGGAUCCGCGCCGCAUUAGCUAGUUGGUAAGGUAACGGCUUACCAAGGCAACGAUGCGUAGACGAACUGAGAGGGUGAUAGGCCACACUGGAACUGAGACACGGUCCAGACUCCUAAGGGAGGCAGCAGUAGGGAAUCUUACGCAGUGGGCGAAAGCCUGGCGGAGCAACGCGGCGUGAGUGAUGGAGGUCUUCGGAUCGUAAAACUCUGUUAUUAGGGAAGAACAAAUGUGUAAGUAACUAUGCACGUCUUGACGGUACCUAAUAAGAAAGCAACGGCUAACUACGUG
rnacentral:rRNA from 1 species